CCUCGCCCUGCUUCGGCUCGCACACGGUGCGUGCACCCACUGGCCUGCGCCCACUGUCUGGCACUCCCUAGUGAGAUGAACCCGGUACCUCAGAUGGAAAUGCAGAAAUCACCCGUCUUCUGCGUUGCUCAUGCUGGGAGCUGUAGACCGGAGCUGUUCCUAUUCGGCCAUCUUGGCUCCUCCGUGAAUCAGAAGUUUUAAUGCAAAUAACAUAUACAAAUUGGCAGACGGACUCUUAUUCUGUCACCAGGCUGGAAUGGAAUGGCACGAUCUCGGCUCACUGCAACUUCCGCCUCCCGGGUUCAAGUGAUUCUCCCGCCUCAGCCUCCCGAGUAGCUGGGACUACAGGCACCCACCACCACGCCCAGCUAAUUUUUGUAUUUUUAGUAGAGACGGAGUUUCACCACGUUGGCUAGGAUGGUCUCCAUCUCUUGACCUCGUGAUCCGCCCGCCUCGGCCUCCCAAAGUGCUGGGAUUACAGGCGUGAGCCACGGCGCCUGGCCCCCUAAGUGAUUCUUCUGCACUUUAAAGCUUGAGACAUCCUGCCUUAAGACACCAUCAAUCCAUGAAUAGAUUGUGAUAUGUCUUUUUGUUUUCCCUCUCAUGGGUUCCUAUCACACUCCCAAACUUUCUAGCUCUAGGACUGCUUUCAAUGGCAGAAUAGCUUGAGAUUUAGUGAUUAUUUGGUUUGGGGCUUAAGGAAAGGCCAUAUGGCCCUUAAAAUGGAACAAUACAUCUACACACAUCCAUUUACUAAUUAACUUGCUAAUUAAUUCACCUACUACACUCAAGAAAUACCUGUUGGGUACCAGGCACAGUUUGAGGGGUUGUAGAUAUAAGGAUGAGUUGGGCACAGCCCCUGUCCUAGAGAGUUUAGGGAUAUGCCUGAACAGCCAACUCCAACCCAGAGUGAUAAACACUUCUGUAAUUCCUAAAGAAGAUGCAUUCCCUUUGAAUGUUUAUAGUCAGAAACUACGUCAUGGCAAGCAGGAAUAAUUCUGGAGGCAGUUCCAGGUUGUCCGCCUCCACCCUCUGAUUCUAUCUUUCCUGUGGCCUUACAUCUGUGGCUUGUCUGCCCACACAGGGGGAUGAGUUAUUGGGACAGUCCCUGUCUGGUGACUCACAGGAUACUGACAGUGAUGGCUUGCUAUAAUUCUUCUCCAUUCCAAAAUAAUCAGGAAUUGUGGUGUGAUCUUUCCCUUAGCUCAGGAGUCCUUAACUUGGGGCCCGUAGAAGAGAGGUUACUUCCAGGGGUGGAGGUGAAUUGGUGGCCCGUGGGCAAACUGUUCUGUGUAUGUGCUUAAUAUAUUUGUCUCAAGAGAAAAAGUCCACAAGUGUUUUUGUUUUGUUUUGAGACAGAGUCUCGCUCUGUUGCCCAGGCUGCAGUGCAGUGGCACGAUUUCAGCUCACUGCAACCUCCGCCUCCCGGGUUCAAGCAAUUCUCCUGCCUCAGCCUCCUGAGUAACUGGGACUACAGGUGCGUGCCACCAUGCCCAGCUAAGUUUUGUAUUUUUAGUAGAAACGGGGUUUCACUAUGUUGGCCAGGCUGCUCUUGAACUCCUGACCUCAUGAUCCAUCCGCCUCAGCCUCCCAAAGUGCUGGGAUUACAGGUAUGCGCCACUGUGCCCAGCCGGAAGUCCACACGUUUUUAUUAAAGGAUGAUGAAACCUAAAAUUGAGAAGUAGUGCCUUGCUACUCUCCUCUUGCUGCCGACACCCUUGUAGUACCGGCUCCUUCCUUCUCUUCCUCCUCUAUCUCCUCCCCUCUUCAGCUGACAUCUCCCAACACCCUCUGUGCUUAGCCUGAUUAGUUAAAAGGAGCUCUGUCUGUGGUAUCACAGUCACUCCAGUCCCCAACUCAACACCAUCACAGGUAAGCACAGCUGGACCACAGGAACAAUGGAGAAAAGAAGUGUCUAGAACUCAAAGCCAAGUCGUUAGCAAUUGGCUUGCUAGUCUUCUGUCUUUAAGAGUUAGAGGUGAGAAGAUGAACUUUAAAAAUCACUUUUUGGACUUUCAGGAUGGUUCAGGGUAGUGAUCCCUGCCAUGAAAACUCCCUUUCCUUUGUCCUGUGAGAUGUCUAGAGUGUCAGGUUGGGGGUUAGGGGAGAGAGGGGACUCUACAGGUGGGUAAAAGUCAUUAAUGACAUCAGAGAGGCAACUGUCAGGUCUCUUUAUACUUAAAGAAUUUUUUGGCUUCAGAAGCCAUGAAAAGUACAUAUGCUAUUUCUGAUGUAUCAUUCUUAGUUCAAAUCCAGGCUCAUGCAGUAAAGAGGAGGAGGUAUGUUUUGGAUAUUUUCUAAGGCAGAGUUCCAAAUCAUUUCUAUAUGGCUGUAAGUACGUAAUGAAGUUAUUUUGCAACAUAUGUUUGCCUUUCUACUUCUGCUCUGUGAUAAUUUGGGAUUAUAAAAUAAAUUUAUAAAAUGCCCUUUGAAUAUGCUGUGUGACUAUUGUUGUUGUUGUUUUUUUCCUAGCUGUCUUAUUUCUGUCUUGCCAGACUCAUGCUGAAAGAGUUGUCUUCCUUGGAUGCAAAGCCUCUGGUAAAGGGAGGGAGGGCAGGGCAGCCCAGAAACAUUCUGGGAAAGUUGAAUGGGAAUAAACAUUUGUGGUGGAAAAUUCAGGGUUGAUUUUCGUGGAUCAUCAAGAGUAGACCCUCUGCAGUGGCUGGUAACUACAGAAGGGUUUUUGGAACAGUAGCUUUUGUUCAGUGUGAACACACAGUGUGCAGGCCUGGUCCCAGGGGAGAAAUAAACACAGCCCUGAGAUCUGCUUCCGG
rnacentral:lncRNA from 10 species